GACGAACGCUGGCGGCGUGCCUAAUACAUGCAAGUCGAGCGAAUCGAYGGGAGCUUGCUCCCUGAGAUUAGCGGCGGACGGGUGAGUAACACGUGGGCAACCUGCCUAUAAGACUGGGAUAACUUCGGGAAACCGGAGCUAAUACCGGAUACGUUCUUUUCUCGCAUGAGAGAAGAUGGAAAGACGGUUUACGCUGUCACUUAUAGAUGGGCCCGCGGCGCAUUAGCUAGUUGGUGAGGUAAUGGCUCACCAAGGCGACGAUGCGUAGCCGACCUGAGAGGGUGAUCGGCCACACUGGGACUGAGACACGGCCCAGACUCCUACGGGAGGCAGCAGUAGGGAAUCUUCCGCAAUGGACGAAAGUCUGACGGAGCAACGCCGCGUGAACGAAGAAGGCCUUCGGGUCGUAAAGUUCUGUUGUUAGGGAAGAACAAGUACCAGAGU
rnacentral:rRNA from 1 species